rnacentral:rRNA from 1 species
GACGAACGCUGGCGGCGUGCUUAACACAUGCAAGUCGAACGGAACUUAUUGGAUCAAGACUUCGGUCAAGUGAAUGUAAGUUUAGUGGCGGACGGGUGAGUAACGCGUGAGGAACCUGCCUUUCAGAGGGGGACAACAGUUGGAAACGACUGCUAAUACCGCAUAACGCAUAGGAGUCGCAUGGCUCUUAUGCCAAAGAUUUAUCGCUGAAAGAUGGCCUCGCGUCUGAUUAGCUAGUUGGUGAGGUAACGGCCCACCAAGGCGACGAUCAGUAGCCGAACUGAGAGGUUGAUCGGCCACAUUGGGACUGAGACACGGCCCAGACUCCUACGGGAGGCAGCAGUGGGGGAUAUUGCACAAUGGGGGAAACCCUGAUGCAGCGACGCCGCGUGAGCGAUGAAGUAUUCGGUAUGUAAAGCUCUAUCAGCAGGAGAAAAUGACGGUACCUGACUAAGAAGCACCGGCUAAA